CUGUGAUUAUAAAUUUAACGGCCGCGGUAUUUUGACCGUGCAAAGGUAGCGCAAUCACUUGUCUUUUAAAUAGAGACCCGUAUGAAUGGCACAACGAGGGCUUAACUGUCUCCCUUUUUUAAUCAAUGAAAUUGAUCUCCCCGUGCAGAAGCGAGGAUAAAGACAUAAGACGAGAAGACCCUGUGGAGCUUUAAACUCCAAAACAGACCAUGUUAAGCGACCUUCCCAUAAAAGCUAAAACCAAUCGGAGGCUGUUUUGCUGUUUUUGGUUGGGGCGACCGCGGGGUAAUAACUAACCCCCAUGUAGAAUGAGAACACCCCUCUUUAAAACAAGACCUACAGCUCUAAAUUACAGAACUUCUGACUAAAUAUGAUCCGGUAAAGCCGAUCAACGAACCGAGUUACCCCAGGGAUAACAGCGCAAUCCUCUUUAAGAGCCCAUAUCGACAAGAGGGUUUACGACCUCGAUGUUGGAUCAGGACCUCCUAGUAGUGCAGCCGCUAUAAAGGGUUCGUUUGUUCAACGAUUAAAGU
rnacentral:rRNA from 1 species